ensembl:ncRNA C01F4.7 ncRNA
UCUCAAACGAGAAUAAUCAGCUGCACAGUGAUAUCACCCUAGGAGACACGAGAGGGGAGUGGCUCUUCGGGCUUCAGCUCCUGUGUGCACACGAGCACACAAGGAAGGCGACCACGCCUUCUUUUUUCAUAUGGAUUAGACUCUUCUUCUUCUUAUUCUUCUUCCAUUUUUCCUCUACUUUUUGAUAAAAACGAGAUGAUGAUGAUGAUGAGAGGGGCCCCCGCACAUACCGCG